rnacentral:rRNA from 1 species
CAAGGAAUUUUCCACAAUGGGCGCAAGCCUGAUGGAGCAACGCCGCGUGGGGGAUGACGCGUUUCGGCGUGUAAACCCCUUUUCGAGGGGACGAAGGCAAUGACGGUACCCUCGGAAGAAGGCCCGGCUAACUACGUGCCAGCAGCCGCGGUAAGACGUAGGGGCCGAGCGUUGUCCGGAGUUACUGGGCGUCAAGCGCGCGCAGGCGGAUGGUCGCAUCGUCGGUGAAAGCCCACCGCUCAACGGGGGAGGGUCCGGCGAGAUGGGCCAUCUGGAGGCAGGGAGAGGCGAGUGGAAUUCCGGGUGUAGUGGUGAAAUGCGUAGAGAUCAGGAGGAACACCAGUGGCGAAGGCGGCUCGCUGGACCUGACCUGACGCUGAGGCGCGAAGGCGUGGGGAGCGAACGGG